GUAUCGGUUAUGCUGCCAAGUGUACCGCCGAGUAGCCGCGUUCGGUUUGGAUAAGCGCUGAAAGCAUCUAAGCGCGAAGCUC
rnacentral:rRNA from 1 species